UACGUAGGGGGCAAGCGUUGUCCGGAAUUAUUGGGCGUAAAGGGCGCGUAGGCGGUCGUGACAAGUCACUUGUGAAAUCUCCGGGCUUAACUCGGAACGGUCAAGUGAUACUGUCGGACUAGAGUACAGAAGGGGCAACUGGAAUUCUCGGUGUAGCGGUGAAAUGCGUAGAUAUCGAGAGGAACACCUGCGGCGAAGGCGGGUUGCUGGGCUGAUAACUGACGCUGAGGCGCGAAAGCCAGGGGAGCGAACGGG
rnacentral:rRNA from 1 species